CAAGCUAGGAUUCUUAAUUAAACUAUUCUUU
rnacentral:tRNA from 1 species